GCUUACGGCCACACCACCCUGAGCGCGCCCGAUCUCGUCUGAUCUCGGAAGCUAAGCAGGGUCGGGCCUGGUUAGUACUUGGAUGGGAGACGCCUGGGAAUACCAGGUGCCGUAAGCU
ensembl:rRNA 5S_rRNA 5S ribosomal RNA